rnacentral:lncRNA from 1 species
CGCGGAGCCUGUAAACAGCCACGGAGGGGACACCUUGUCCCACAUUCACAGCCUAACACUGAGGUGUUAUUUAAAGAUCUGCACAUUGGAAUAAGCCCGCCAAAGAGACCAGGCACUUUGGAGAGGAGGAAGUACCAGGUGAAAUAUGGGCCAGGCCAUGUCAUCGCUGGCUCUGCCAGGGUGGACAGAGCCUUCAAGAGGGCACAAGAGAGCACAGUGGCCCUGGGCCAGAUCAGCCCCUGCUGUCUAGCCACCCAUGGGGAAGGAUAUGGCCGUGGCAGUGCUGGACUCUGGACUCGGCAUGAAUCGUGGGUGGUACUGUCUGGGCCAGUGGGGAGAUGAACAGCCUCUUCCCCCAUUGGUGCCUCAGUUUCUCCACUUGUGAAAGAGAACAACAAGAGAAUCAAGUCACACCAUGAGGGCUGGGUGAGGUGAUGCUUACAAAACACAGAA